ensembl:lncRNA
AUCAUAUGGCCCCAUUCUUCAAAUAUGGGACCUCCACAACAUCCUUUGGAGAUAUUUAGAAAGAAGAAGAUCACGUUUGGAAGCAGUACUAGAUGAAUCAAAUCCAGACCUUCUUCUGUUUACUCAGUCAACACUGGGUGAGAUUGAAAGCAGCAUAGAGACUAGAUAAAAGAAGGGAGACCCUCCACCGCUUUGUUAGCAUCAUCAAGCUCACCACAAUGUGGAAGCUGAAGGGUAAGUCUCUGUCCACCGCAAGGAGAAACCAGAAGGGACUUCCCUGGUGGCUCAGACAGUAAAGCAUCUGUCUACAAUGCGGGAGACUCGGAUUUGAGCCUUGAGUUGGGAAGAUCCCCUGGAGAGGGAAAUGGCAAUCCAUUCCAGUACUAUCGCCUGGAAAAUCCCAUGGACAGAGGAGCCUGGUAGGCUACAGUCUAUGGGUCGCAAAGGGUCAGACACGACUGAGAGGCUUCA